rnacentral:rRNA from 1 species
GGACGCCUACGGGGCGCAGCAGGGGGGGAUAUUGCACAAUGGGGGGAACCCUGAUGCAGCGACGCCGCGUGGGUGAAGAAGCGCCUCGGCGCGUAAAGCCCUGUCAGCAGGGAAGAAAAUGACGGUACCUGAAGAAGAAGCCCCGGCUAACUACGUGCCAGCAGCCGCGGUAAUACGUAGGGGGCAAGCGUUAUCCGGAUUUACUCGGUGUAAAGGGGGCGCAGACGGCGAUGCAAGCCAGGAGUGAAAGCCCGGGGCCCGACCCCGGGACUGCUCUUAGAACUGCGUGGCUGGAGGGCAGGAGG